GCCCCCAUCAGCGAUGUCAAAUUACUGCUCGAUACAGCUAGUCCCAUCCAUUGUAAUAUAACAUUUGUAAUUAACAUAACAGCCCGGAUGUGCAUCCACUCACGUUGUGCAACACUCUCCAUAUCGGCAGUCUUUGGGGUGGCUGGUUGGGGAGCAGGCUGUGACCCCGCGUUAGGGGGUCAGCACUGGGCGGCCGGAUGGUGUCCCCCACCAUGAAGGCAGUGGUGGACGCCGUAUGGGCCGUUUGGAGCAUCAGCGUGUCCAUCUACGACUACAUCCACACCAACGCCAUGGAGGAGCGCAUCCACACGCUGGAGAGUGCCAUCACCGUCCACCAGUGCAUCAUCGGCAUGCUCUCCGCCGGCCUGUUGGCCCUUGUCACCUACGUCCUCCUCAGGAAGCACUGAGGGAUGACGGUCAUCUCAGAGGGACUCUGGAGGCCCAGUACUGGGGGGGAUCGUUUGCAUCAUGAACGGAGGUCCAUCUGAGUUUUCACAUCCAUGGGAUGCAUCUUGUGAGGAGGCCGGGUGACCACUCAGUGCCACGUCCUGACCCCUGUCCAGAUCAGGUAAACUCAGGACCUGGCAUGCAGUGGCGCAUGGAAACAUCACCAACGUGAGCCAAGAAAGAGACCAACGUGAGCCGAGAGAGAGAGCCGAUGACAUGAGAGCAGAUAGCGAGUUUUCUGCCAAGGUGUAAAAAUAUCCCGUGGCGCUUGUUGAAGGAGGGCUGCAGGAGGAUGGCGCUUGGGUCAUCUGUGACCUGCACUGCCCGUCUCCGGAGUAUAGGGUUGCAAAGGGCUGGACGAUUUUUGAUGAAGUCCCGUUUGGCCCAUCGGUACAGAACCUGUACCGACCUACCAAAACGUUCCUAAUUUCAGUAAAAUGAUAAAUUUAUGAUAUGAUGGUCUCCUUGGAUACAAGAGGCUGAUGUAUAAGUAUAAGUAUAUAUACUCUUUUGAUCCCGUGAUGUAACUCCAUGUAUGAGGCACUUACUGUAACCCAGAUCCCACUCUACCAUGCAGGGGAAAACAGCAGAGACCACCAUUAUCUCGUAUUAACCCUUAAAGGAGUACCGUCACACCGGUGUGACGGGAAUGUUGGGAAAUUAACAUUCUAAAGAAUAUCUGGGUUCAUUGAAUUCAACAUAGAAUUUUAGAACCUUCAAUUGUUGCGGAACUUAGAAUGUUCAAAAACCUACACCUUUAAGGGUUAACAGAUAAUGCAAAAGUCAUGAAACAUCAGCGCACGUUGCGAUUUGAACCUUUGUACUAUUCGACAGCGGUCAGAACAUGUUCAUCAACAGUCUCCUGACCGUAUGCAGCACAAGACCAGCAACGGCCAGCGAAAUAUGAGCCAGACCAUCAAUCAGCUUAUGCUGUUGCUAACAAUGCUGCCCUGUGCAGGUCUCAGGACAUCCCCUGAAAAUCUUUUAAAAAUCCCUGGACCUUUGCAUUCCUACUCCAGGCUCUGCCUCAUGUCCAGCAGACAGUGGACAUCACUACUGUACUUGUUUAUUUAUUGUACAACACUGAAAGUAACAGAAAGUGUCCUUACUCGACUAGGUAUCUUAUACUAUUACCAUGGUUCCAGAUAUCUCGGUCAAAAGAUCAAUAUUUUCUCAUUUGACCUGACUAGAGUUUACUUACAAUAUUUAAAUGUCUAUUGUACUAUUUUUGUUGAUAGGACUAAUGUAGUGUAUUUUAAAAUAUAGAAAUGUAACUAAAGUAACAUGGUCAAAUGUCAUUCAUUUAGAAUGUCAAAAAGGGCUUUUCCAUGAGGGAGGCUUUUAAAAGUCUGUUAGUAUAAAGCCAGGGAAGCUCAUUUCCAUCUCAAUAAUUCAGCAGGAGGGUUGAUCAUAUUAAAACACACUCUUCCCUCGUAGACCAACAUGGCUCACGACCAAACAAUGUCAGAGUGGUUUCUCUGAGGAAAUGCAUCAGGAGAAAAUAACGGUAAAGGACUGUAAAUCAGAUAGUUGAGUAGAACUAAGGCCUCUUUUUUAUGUAUAUAC